GACAGCAGUAGCCACGGUAAUACAGAGGGUGCGAGCGUUAAUCGGAUUUACUGGGCGUAAAGCGUGCGUAGGCGGCUUUUUAAGUCGGAUGUGAAAUCCCUGAGCUUAACUUAGGAAUUGCAUUCGAUACUGGGAAGCUAGAGUAUGGGAGAGGAUGGUAGAAUUCCAGGUGUAGCGGUGAAAUGCGUAGAGAUCUGGAGGAAUACCGAUGGCGAAGGCAGCCAUCUGGCCUAAUACUGACGCUGAGGUACGAAAGCAUGGGGAGCAAACAGGAUUAGAUACCCGAGUAGUCCCUGUCUCUUAUAC
rnacentral:rRNA from 1 species